AGAUCUUGCAUUGGAUUAGAUAGUCUAAACUAUCAUGUUUCUGUUACAUAUUAUAUAUUUUUAUUAUAAGGGUAAUAAACAUGGAUCCAGUUUGAGUAGGUUUGUUUUUAUCUUUUUUUAGAGUUAGGUUUGUUUUUAUCUGAGUAACUGAGGGGCCAUAUGCAGCAAACAAACUACCAUAUGUUGCCAUGGUUAAGUGGUAUAUGUUCAAGCAAAAAUGCAUACACUUGCUAUGAAAUGAUCAGGAUCUUCACCUUAUUUUCAUGUUCUCGAUAAAGUGUUUGAUAUUUCUUAGUGGAUAAAUUAAGCAAAAAUGCUGAGACAAGGCCAAGUUUGUGUACAAGUAGCGUUCUCUCUGUUUCAGACUUCCAACACAAGCGUUAUCAUCCCAGCUCACUGAUUUCUUUUGAUUUUCAGACGAGAAACAGCCCAACUCUGAGCUUAUCGAUCUGAAAUGCACUUUUCAAUCAAUGCCUUAGCGAGAGAAUGGAGUAGACGCCUCUUCUUCUGGUUUGUGUCAAACUUACUAGUUGUGGUUUAACGUAACAAAUAUCCAGCCAUUAGCAAAGGUAGGUAUAAUGUUAAAGUGAUCUAUGUGAAAAAUGGCCCAAGCCCAAACAAAUUAGCCCAAUAGCAUUAUGUACAUGGUCACCCCAGUCCUAGUACCUCACGGAAUAGACUUGACCGAGCUUGAUCUAUCAAUAUGCAUUGACGGCUCUAGCAAAUACCUUUUAUAUCCCGCCCAUGGUGUUCCAGUCGAUCGAUUACUGCCGCCGCACUAGGGCAUAUAGAUGCGCAGGUCAGAAUCGCUCGGACAUCUAUGCUUCGUCAAGCAUCGUGACCAGCAGUGUUCAUUGGAAGCAUCCCCACUACAUUUAGCAAAAUAAGUAGCCUCAGAAUUCACAGCCUUUCUCAUAAUAACAUUACUGCACAAUUCCAGUGUCUUUUGGCAACCUAUAAUAUCUGAAAUUUUCAUUUAACCAUCUUUGACGGAGAGGUCCCAACGAAAGAAAACUAUGCCUUCGCCAUCAUUUCGUAAAAAAUAUUCGAAAGUUUCUAAUUUCUAAGGGCUCUGUUUAUGUUCUUUGUGGUGUCCUCCAUGCUAAAGUGUAAGUGGAUUAAACAGACGUAGAAACCGCAAUGAUCCGCUGAAGGACGAAAGGAGACAACUAAUUCUCUUUAUGGUUAUUGUGAAGUAUUUGAGACCUAAUUAUGUUCUCAUGGAAAAUGUUGGUGACCUUCCGAAAUUUUUUGGUGGACUUUUUUGGAAGCUAUGCGUUGAGCCUCUUUGUGGCCAUGAGUUACCAAACAAGGCUUGUGCCUAUGGUUGAAUGAUCUUAUGGGCUACCGUAAUUUAGGAUUCUUGCAUUUUUUUGCCAUGAAAUGCACAAAUCCUAAAUUGUGGUAGCCCAUAACUCCUCCAACCAUAAGCAAGUCCUGUUUGUUAACUCAUGGCCACAAGAUGACUUAAUGCAUAGCUCCUAGAAAUCCACAACAAAUUUCAAAAGGUCAACAACAUUCUCCAUAAGAACAUAUUUGGGUCUCAAAUAGUUCACAAUGUCCAUGAAGACAAUUAGUUGUCCAUUUCUUUUGUCUUUUGGUGGAUCAUUGCGGUUUCUGUGUCUGUUUAGUCCACUUGUGCCUUGGCAUGGAGGUCCCCCACAAAUAACAUUCACAAAACCCUGAGAAAUUAGAAAAACAUAAAUAGCUGCCAGCCUGCCACAUCAAAUGAACAAAAAAUAAACAUAGGGGUUCGGUACCGUCAUUAAGGAAAAGUCUUCAAAAUGGAAAUGAUGUUGCAAGUCUUCAACCUAGAGAUAAGGUGAAAAACUGGUUAUUGCAGAAUGUCAUGCCUUAAGAAAUGUAUGGCAUCGAAAUCUACUCCCCAUACUAACAGCAUGCUCAAGCAUCCAUUCUAAUGGGAAUGAUCUCAAAGCUCUAGUGUAUGAGUUCAUGCCCCGAGGAGACUCACAUAGAUUACUGAAUUCAGCUCAAGACCAUGAGGGCUCUUUAGACUUCAUACACAUUACAGUGGCUCAAAGGCUAAGCAUUGUUUUGGAUGUAGCAGAUGCGUAUCUACAACAUAACAACCAAGGAACUAUUGUUCAUUGUCAUAUGAAGCCUAGCAAUAUUCUUUUGGAUGAUACUAUGACAACUCAUGUUGGAGAUUUUGGUCUUGCAAGGUUUGUAGUUGAUCCAGCAGCAUCAUCACCAGAUGACUCACACUCGACGUCUUUGAUUGCAAUAAAUGGAACUAUUGGAUAUGCUGCUCCAGAAUGUGCAACACAUGGUCAUGUUUUGACUGCUAGCGAUGUCUAUAGCUUUUGGAAUUGUUGUACUUGAAAUGUUCUUACGGAAGAGGCCUACAGAUGCUUCGUUGUCUAUGAAGAAUGGGUAUGGUAUACACUCUGCUAACCAGUGUGCUCCUAAGUAAUACGUGUUCUUCAGAGAAAGGGACUUUUCGCACAGACAGAUCAAAGGAACAUUAACCAGUGAGGCUGAAGGCACAUGCUCUCAUCUCUGGAGAUGCUUCUCAAAAUUAUCCAAAAAUUGUGGCCUCCUCCUUACGAUCAUCAGGUGUAACAGCCCAAGGUCAGCCUGUGUGUUCGGUGCCGGUGGCUUGGAAGAUGCA